UACAGAGGGUGCGAGCGUUACUCGGAAUUACUGGGCGUAAAGCGUGCGUAGGUGGUUGUUUAAGUCUGUUGUGAAAGCCCUGGGCUCAACCUGGGAACUGCAGUGGAAACUGGACAACUAGAGUGUGGUAGAGGGUAGCGGAAUUCCCGGUGUAGCAGUGAAAUGCGUAGAGAUCGGGAGGAACAUCCAUGGCGAAGGCAGCUACCUGGACCAACACUGACACUGAGGCACGAAAGCGUGGGGAGCAAACAGG
rnacentral:rRNA from 1 species